UCACAAACGGUUAACUGGGGGUCGGGACUCGCGAGUCCGUUUUCUCCCCUCGGCAUGACAUCACCGCCCCGGACAAAGCUGCAAGGAGGGGUUUCUGAGGAGAACCGUCCCAAAUCAAUGGCACACACACACUGAAGAUACACCCAGGAGAUUUUAUCUGCCGUCGAGACCAAGUACGAGCACGUCGGCAGCAGUUCUGUAGCGCUUCGUUGGGAGAAGGAAUGAACUACUGUGGGAAAUAACAUCAGCCAGAGAACCGAGUCCCAGCCGCUGGAUGCUCGGUGGUUUUCUAAGUUUCGCCCUCCUAACAUGCACUGUGUCUGAAGAAGUUGACCCGCGGUUUGACUCCACCCUAGAAGACCAUGCUGGCCCUCCUGCUUCCCGCAAUGCUGACCAUCCAAGCUAUGGCUGUGAAGGAAGUGCAAGUCCCGGAGCAGCCAGUGGUGGCGCUGUAUGGCAGCGAUGCCACCCUCAACUGUUCCUUCAGCCACGCCAACCCCUUCAACUUGUCUGAUCUGAGCAUCUUCUGGCAGCUGACAGACACCAAGCGCAGUGUGCACGCUUACUGGGAGACGCGCGACCAGCUGGCGGACCAGGCCGAGAGAUUCGCCAACCGUACCAGCCUAUUCCCCGCUCAGCUGGGCCUCGGCAACGCUUCGCUCCUGCUCAGGAGGGUGGUGGUGGCGGAUGAAGGCAGCUAUACCUGCUUCGUCAGGGUGCAGGACUACGGCAGCGCUGCUUUGCUGCUGCAGGUGGCCGCCCCAUACUCCAAGCCUGUGGUGACUUUGCAGCCUGAAUCCAACCUGCGACCAGGCGAUGAGGUGGCCCUGACCUGUGUGGCCUACGGUGGUUAUCCUGAAGCUGGCGUGAUAUGGCAAGAUGGGGGUGGGCGCAACCUGACAGACAAUAUCACCACUUCAUUGGUGGCCAAUGAGGAAGGGUUGUUCUCUAUGACCAGCGUGCUGACAGUUGUGCUGGAGCCCAAUAGCACCUACAGCUGCGGACUGAUCAAUUCACUGCUGGGCGAGGAGGGCUACGCCUUUGUCACAAUCACAGGUCAGAACAUUGCGUUCCCCCCAGUGGCUCUGUGGGUAACUGUUGGCCUGGCCGUGUGUCUGCUGGUUCUACUAGUUGCCCUGGCUGCUGUCUGCCGCAGGAAGAUCAAGGAGAGCUGCGAGGUGGCCAGGAGAGAAGCAGUGUUUGAGGAGAUUCAGAGUAGUGCUGUGCACCUUCUGUGUAGAGGAGACAUGGGGAGGCAGAGGAGAGGAUGACGAGGAACAGUAACAGUCUUCUGGCUUCACCAACAGGGGCAUAAAAUUGUAACACUCUCAAUGUACAAGGGAAGCAGUUCUCACUUCCUGCCCUGUGGAUGCCCUCGUCUUCAGCCUGACUUUAAAUGAGCCUCUCUCCUAUCGAAGCCCUGUCCCCCAAGGUAUUUCCUCUGCUGCCACAGUGGUGGGACUGUUGGUCGAUUUUGAACAGUGAAGCUGAAGAGGCCAAGGAACUGGAAGAAGAGGAGUCAAAGACAGCCAUGACACUACUGACAAGCUAGGGCAGAGAGAAUAAAGGAGUCGGGGCUAGACGGCAGGGAGGAGAUGAGUCUGGCAGGUAAUCCCACUCCAUCUAUCCAUCAACCUGGAGACUAUUUCCAGCGUCCCCUACAGAAUGCCAAAGUCUCGCUGAGCAGCAGAUGAGUCCAUCAUCCUCUUUCUAAGACUUUCCCUCAAGUUUCCAUCAAAACACAUAAACACAUCAUCUGCCAUUAUUUUCUAUCGCCCUCCCUCCCACUUCUGUCAAUGGGUCAUGGCAGUGAGAGAACACAGUGGAGUGGAGCGUUGUAUGCGACAUGCCAAAGAGAGCAGCUCUGUGUAAAACCCACGGGAUGUGACAGGAUCCCUUCGCCGUCGAUGACAUCACUCUGCAUGGGCUGCGAUGGGGCAUGUGCCAGAGAUCUCCUGUCUAAUAGGGAGUGAGACAAUUAAAGAGAUGACCCGGCCUCCGUUGCCAUCACUGUCUCUCUGCCAGAGAGAGAGAGAGAGAGAGAGAGAGAGCUUGGCUCUGCCAUUACUCCUGUACUUGCUAAUUAGCGUCUGUCGCUGGAGUAACUUGUACCUGUCAGUGUGUGCCGCUCUCCUAUAUUCCGUAACUUGAGGGAAUUGAAAUUGAAUGCCAGCUAAGCUCCAACAAACUGCAAAUGGUGCGUGGGAUACACCCUGAUUCUCUCACUGACCUGACAGCCUUAUGCGUAAGAAAUUGUUUUUAAUGAACACAGAGUAUCUCAGCGAGUUUUUACCGCUGGUGUGGACUGUUUCAUCUAUUCCAGACAAAGGACGUACUGAUUGUUUUAUUGCAUUUUUUUGGUACUUGAGCAAGUCCCCGUGCCAUAUGUCCAUGUAUGAAUGCCAAAGCCAUUUCUGUUCCAUAUAGCCCAGUGCCUAUUUACAUUAAAGAGACAUGGUGAAACUG